rnacentral:rRNA from 1 species
UGACAGUACUCCUACGGGGAGGCAGCAGUGGGGAAUAUUGCACAAUGGGCGCAAGCCUGAUGCAGCCAUGCCGCGUGUAUGAAGAAGGCCUUCGGGUUGUAAAGUACUUUCAGCAGUGAGGAAGGUGGGUAUGUUAAUAGCAUAUUCAUUUGACGUUAGCUGCAGAAGAAAGCACCGGCUAACUCCGUGCCAGCAGCCGCGGUAAUACGGAGGGUGCGAGCGUUAAUCGGAAUUACUGGGCGUAAAGCGCAUGCAGGUGGUUUGUUAAGUCAGAUGUGAAAGCCCGGGGCUCAACCUCGGAAUUGCAUUUGAAACUGGCAAACUAGAGUACUGUAGAGGGGGGUAGGAAUUUCAGGUGUAGCGGUGAAAUGCGUAGAGAUCUGAAGGAAUACCGGUGGCGAAGGCGGCCCCCUGGACAGAUACUGACACUCAGAUGCGAAAGCGUGGGGAGCAAACAGGAUUAGAUACCCUGGUAG